rnacentral:lncRNA from 1 species
UUGUGAUGAAUUAUGUCAAAAAAAUUUUAUUAUUUCAUAAUUCAAAUAUAAAUUACAAAGUGUAUAAUCAUUCAAUGAUUGGCUUUAGGAUAUAUUUCCUAACAACUCCUAUUUAGAUUAAAGCCAAUCGAUACAGUAUAUAAUACUUAUCUUUCAUUUGAGUUCAACGAACUCUUUGAUUCCGAAGGCUUUUGCAAAUGGGUCGGCCA